CAAUUUUUAUGAAGUUUAAAGGUGCAUUUAGAGGGAAGAAUUAUGUGAUUAGAUGAUGGGCUGAGUGAAAGUGAUGGUGUGUGCACGGUACAUACAUGUACCAGGAUUGCAGUUGAUUACACAAGCCUGACUGUGACUAUGUCCAUUUUUUUGGGAAAAAACUGGUGCUUAUAAUUACAGGUCAAAUUAGCGAAUAGUAUGAUAAUUGUCUCAUUUGUUUGCACUAGUUUGACAUGCGUGACAGAAACUGGUUAUGUUGCUAACUACUGAUGAAUGAUACUGUACAUGUGAGUAAAUCUGUUAACACAUCUCACCCGACCUUUGUAAGUAUACAUGGAUUGCAAACCAUAAUUGUACAUGUAUAUGUAUGUAUGUAUGUAUGUAUGUAUGUAUUGUAUGUACAUGUAUGUAUUUGUAUGUGUAUGUAUGUACAUGUAUCUGUGUAUGUAUGUAUGGUGUUCUUCCUUCAGUAAUCUUGUAAUUAUUUCUUACCUUGCAUAAAGUUGGGACCAUUACUAACUACUAAGUACACGUAAUUUCAAUCAACAUUUUGCUUGUCAUAUGUUAGAUGUGUUAGUUUCAAGUGCAACUCAUGAAAUCGUAAUUCACAUAAUGACUUAAUUUCAUUAAAUUUCAGUUUUCUGUGUCACUGUCCUACCAUUAACAUAUCAUUUGAUCCUUGUCUGUUUAGACUAGGCCCUUCCAGUAUCAGGGACCAUGGUUAUUUAAUACCAAUAUUAUUGUUGUCGUGUGAACUUAUGCCCUCAGUUAAUCAACUUACCAGUAUUACAUGUCUUUCUCUCCCUAUAUCCCUCUUAUUACUUGGUUACCAUUUUAGUAAAGCCACUCACUCCAGUCUCAUUGGUUCUUUGUGACACCAGUCAUUCCCUCUCAUCCACCCUUCCUCUCUCUCUUUCUCACAUAGCCAUCUUUGUCCUUCUCUAGACUGUUUUGAAGCCCUGUAUUAUGCUAGGUGAUAAACUGUUGGCUUGUCUUAGAUACAUUGUAGUUUAAUUAUUACGUGAACAAAUCAUGACUUGUUAUCUCUUUGCAUCCUUUUUGUUAUGUCUCCCAUUAUUUCAAAAAAAUUCAUUACUAUUAGUACAUAGGGUCAUUGAUUAUUUGCUUUAUGAAAUGCAAUGAUUAUUACUGUUAUUGUCUAAAUUUGUGAUUGACAGUA